AAUUAUACCAUUCUGGAGGGUGGAAAAGAUGUUUCUAGGAAAGCCUCUUUGAACUGCCUCCAGUUUGUUAUAGAGUCGGAAGUUAUUUUAUUUAGCCAUAGUGUCACCUCCCCAGAUAGAGAUAAUAGAAACAAACACAGGUAGAUAGCAUUCUGACCCACUCCUGGAUUAUCAAAAGACUUGCAAAUAGUGACAAAAUUCACCAAAUGCAUG
rnacentral:lncRNA from 1 species